AGAUUUUCAGCUGGGUCUGUCUGACUCCUAAGCUCUGGCUCUGAACCUGAAUGCUUUAUGGCCUCCUCCAACCUUGAAAAUAUGCAAAAUUCCCCAGGAAAGAGAACUCAAAAGAAGCAUUGCCAAAGACACAGCCCUGGGAAGCCGGGGGAGGAAGAGGAGGCUUUGGGGUGUCCUGAUUUCCCAAGACACCCUUUAGGAAGCACAAACCAUCUUUGGGUAAGGGCAAAAGGGUCUCCUUGUGGAUCCAGCCCCAAGAACGUCAGG
rnacentral:lncRNA from 1 species